rnacentral:rRNA from 1 species
AGUGAACGCUGGCGGUAGGCCUAACACAUGCAAGUCGAACGGCAGCACAGUAAGAGCUUGCUCUUACGGGUGGCGAGUGGCGGACGGGUGAGGAACACAUCGGAAUCUACUUUUUCGUGGGGGAUAACGUAGGGAAACUUACUCUAAUACCGCAUACGACCUACGGGUGAAAGCAGGGGAUCUUCGGACCUUGCGCGAAUGAAUGAGCCGAUGUCGGAUUAGCUAGUUGGCGGGGUAAAGGCCCACCAAGGCGACGAUCCGUAGCUGGUCUGAGAGGAUGAUCAGCCACACUGGAACUUAGACACGGUCCAGACUCCUACGGGAGGCAGCAGUGGGGAAUAUUGGACAAUGGGCGCAAGCCUGAUCCAGCCAGACCGCGUGGGUGAAGAAGGCCUUCGGGUUGUAAAGCCCUUUUGUUGGGAAAGAAAAGCAGCAGGUUAAUACCCCGCUGUUCUGACGGUACCCAAAGAAUAAGCACCGGCUAACUUCGUG